UACAGAGGUCCCAAGCGUUGUUCGGAUUCACUGGGCGUAAAGGGUGCGUAGGUGGUUAGGUAAGUCUGAUGUGAAAUCUCUGGGCUCAACCCAGAAACUGCAUUGGAUACUAUCUAGCUAGAGGAGUGGAGGGGGGACUGGAAUACUUGGUGUAGCAGUGAAAUGCGUAGAUAUCAAGUAGAACACCAGUGGCGAAGGCGAGUCCCUGGACACUUCCUGACACUGAGGCACGAAAGCUAGGGGAGCAAACAGG
rnacentral:rRNA from 1 species